rnacentral:pre_miRNA from 1 species
AUUACCCAAGGAACUUGUUAAAAUACAGAUUCUGAUUCAGUAGGUCUGGGGGUGCUCAGAUUCUGCAUUUGUAACCAGUUCCCAGGUGAUGCUAA